rnacentral:rRNA from 1 species
CCUACGGGCGGCAGCAGUGAGGAAUAUUGGUCAAUGGGCGGGAGCCUGAACCAGCCAAGUCGCGUGAGGGAAGACGGUCCUAUGGAUUGUAAACCUCUUUAGGCGGGGAGCAAUGCCGGGCACGCGUGCCCGGAGGGAGAGUACCCGCAGAAUAAGCAUCGGCUAACUCCGUGCCAGCAGCCGCGGUAAUACGGAGGAUGCGAGCGGUAUCCGGAUUUAGUGGGUUUAAAGGGUGCGUAGGCGGAUUUUUAAGUCAGCGGUAAAAUGUCCGGGCUCAACCCGGGCCGGCCGUUGAAACUGGGGAUCUUGAGUGGGCGAGAAGUAUGCGGAAUGCGUGGUGUAGCGGUGAAAUGCAUAGAUAUCACGCAGAACUCCGAUUGCGAAGGCAGCAUACCGGCGCCCGACUGACGCUGAGGCACGAAAGCGUGGGGAUCGAACAGGAUUAGAUACCCCUGUAGUC